AGGGGCACUUGGCAACAGGGGUAAAUUCUUAAAUCAAAGAAACAGUAAUGUAUAAAAAGCAACGUAGAUAACUUUGGCACUGCAGCAGCAUUAUGUAUGAGAACAGCUUUAAAACCGUAUUUCAGCAGCGAAGCACUUUCUUCAAAUGAAAUCUUAUGAAGACGCCCUAUGUGUUGAACAGACAAAAGAGAAUCAGCUUUGUUUAACAUUGGAGCAGUACCUCAAAAUCCCCAGCAUGCGAAUCAGGGAUGGAAUCGACUCGGUUCUUAUCUCUGGGAGUGGGCCUUGAAUGGCAUAAGCCACUUAGCAUAUCUGAUUACAGGCCACACCAACUGGCUCAGGGGGGAACACAUGAUCCAACAGGGGCAAAUCAGAGCAGCAAGAAUCAAUUCCAAGCUGUUGGUGCUUGUGGAUUCUUUUGUGCUAGACUUGCAUCUAAAAAGACAUAACUCCAGGAGCAGCUGAUUGUUAUACUGUGACAAUAAUGGGGGAAGCUCACAAAAAAAGGAGCCAGCACUGAGGAAUUGGGACAGAGAACUCAAGACAGAGUCAUCCCAAUGAAGUCAUUUGAGCCAUUGGACUAAGAGCAGUCUGGAGCCAGCCUGAUUUCCCACUUACAUGAUAAUAAAUUGCCUUUAUUCUUCAA